rfam:Micromonospora humi strain DSM 45647 genome assembly, contig: Ga0070213_106
AGUCGGUUCGGCUCGACCCCCCCGGAGCCGAACCACCCGACGACCCCCGUCUCCCCCCGACGGGGGUCGUCCCUU